AUUGAACGCUGGCGGCAUGCCUUACACAUGCAAGUCGAACGGCAGCACGGGAGCAAUCCUGGUGGCGAGUGGCGAACGGGUGAGUAAUAUAUUGGAACGUGCCCAGUCGUGGGGGAUAACGCAGCGAAAGCUGUGCUAAUACCGCAUACGAUCUAUGGAUGAAAGCGGGGGAUCGCAAGACCUCGCGCGAUUGGAGCGGCCGAUAUCAGAUUAGCUAGUUGGUGGGGUAAAGGCCCACCAAGGCGACGAUCUGUAGCUGGUCUGAGAGGACGACCAGCCUCAAUGGAACAGAGACACGGUCCAGACUCCUACGGGAGGCAGCAGUGGGGAAUGUUGGACAAUGGGCGCAAGCCUGAUCCAGCAAUGCCGCGUGCAGGAUGAAGGCCUUCGGGUUGUAAACUGCUUUUGUACGGAACGAAACGGUCCUUUCUAAUACAGAGGGCCAAUGACGGUACCGUAAGAAUAAGCACCGGCUAACUACGUGCCAGCCGCCGCCGUAA
rnacentral:rRNA from 1 species